rnacentral:tRNA from 1 species
GGAUCGGUAGUCUAGCCUGGUUAGGAUAUCGCACUCACACUGCGGGGGUCGCUGGUUCAAAUCCGGCCCGAUCCACUA